GGACCAUUGUGAACACCAAGCUGUUUGAGGUGAACGGUAAGCGACAAGCGUUAGUGCUGUUUGAGAACGAGGAACAGGCUGCGGAGGCGCUUGUGUGUAAGCAUGCGAGCACCAUUGACAGGUCUAUCAUCCGGAUCUCUUUCUCUCAGCUCCAGAGCAUCUAACUGAUGUUUGGCAUUGCUUCAGUCUUUUCUUGUAUUAUUAAGUUUGAUACAAUAUGAAGAGGAUGGAGGAUUGCUUUUGGUACAUUUUAUAUUGUAUCUGUUGAAUUUAAAUUAUUGCUUGAUAUUUGUUGGAUGCUUU
rnacentral:misc_RNA from 1 species